rnacentral:ncRNA from 1 species
GUCUGACAAAGGCAAACCGUGCGAAAGCACGGGACGCAAAGUCGACGGUCUAACGGCGCGCAAGCGUCUAUGACGGCUGGACUGCCAGA